CAAGCUGCGUAUAUCUUGGGAUCUUCACAGCACAGUGGCUGGGAAGGCAGGCGGACCCGUCUAUCAGCUUCUCCCUGAAGACUACCAAAGCAAACCAGAGGACCAGAGAACAGCAGCUGCUCUGGACAAAGAGGGGAGGACACCCACACCCACAUACCAAGUUCUGGUUGACUUCUACAGCAGAAGGAGCAGGAGACACCAGAAGUCUCCUCAGAAGAACAUUGACCAGCACGCCGGCAUCCUUUCUGUUCUGACACACUUGUUACCUGGAUGACUUCUUUCUCAUCACCCACGUGCCAAGAGUGCCAUGUCUCAUCUGGACCAGGGACUCUGAGGAUCACACCAACAGAGACACAAACGACACUUAAAGAAAGCCACAUCAGCUUUUACAACUUACCCCCCAAUACCGAAUG
ensembl:processed_transcript Gm14005 predicted gene 14005